AUGGAAAGCCUACUCCAUUGGGACUUUGCUCCAGGCCUUGCCCUGGCAGAUUAGGUGAGAAGAAAUUUUGCAUCAACGGUGCACUUCUCUCCCUCUCGGGACACCAAGGAGUUCUUUUUGGUGGUCACUUUCUCUUCGACCUCCUUUCCCCUCACCAUUAAUUUGAUUGGGGUUGCGUUGCAAUGGUGCAUUGGAGGGAUCUGUUCGGGUUUCAAUGUGGUUUCAAUUACAUCCCGGUCGUUCUGUUUUUCUGCGACCAACAACAAAGUGGGGCACUUUAUACAUGGGCUAAAGGAUCGGGUUUGGCUGGACUUUGUGUGCCAGUUUCAUCUAUUCAAUGGUCGCUUUGCCAAAGCUAAUUCUCCUGAUUCACAUUGGCAUGUUGAUCAAGAGUUGGUUGAGAUCUUGGAUUGUAAGCCUAUGGCAUUGACUACAUCUUUGAACUUUUUGAGUAAGGGUAAACCCAUGGAUCAUUCUUCCUUAAAGGAGUUGAGCAAAUUUGAUCUCGUCAAGCUGGAUCAAUGGAAUUUCUCUAACAAAAAUGAUUAUGAGGCUUCAACUUCAUCAGGGUCUUCCCAGAACAAAUUCAAUUUGGAUCUUUCCCCCACAACCUUAGUAGGGCAAGGUUACCGCACAACCCAUUGA
rnacentral:rRNA from 1 species